GCAGGAAUUACUGAUAACUGUUAUUAUAACCAAUGCAGACUUUAAAAUCCCACCUGGACAUCGGGUGAGAGGAGGAGGGCAGGCAGCAAACCGACCUGCAGACCUGCAGAGGGGAGCCGUGUCCAGGGCCACUGCGUCCCCACCAGACAACAGCUACUAGAAGAGGAAAGUGGCCCUCACAGGCAGGGUGCCUGCCACCAAGCAGUCAGACAAGGGGGUAACCAAGAGCUCCCAGCCAGAAAAACAUGGGGGCAGGGAGGCCAAACAAAAAGCACUGAAAAUAAAGAGAAGGCUGGGUGGUGGCAGCAUCGGCCCCUCCCUGUGCGCCCCAAUUCCAGGUGCCACGUAGAGGCGAGAGGUCUUUCCAACACGGCGGGGGACUUGUCAACAGGAUUAGGCGUGAGGAGCCGCUCUGCGUUUCCAGUCUGGAGACUGCAUUCAGCCUGCA
rnacentral:lncRNA from 1 species